rnacentral:rRNA from 1 species
AACGAACGCUGGCGGCAGGCUUAACACAUGCAAGUCGAGCGCCCCGCAAGGGGAGCGGCAGACGGGUGAGUAACGCGUGGGAAUCUACCCAUCUCUACGGAAUAACGCAUGGAAACGUGUGCUAAUACCGUAUACGUCCUUCGGGAGAAAGAUAUAUCGGAGAUGGAUGAGCCCGCGUUGGAUUAGGUAGUUGGUGGGGUAAAGGCCUACCAAGGCGACGAUCCAUAGCUGGUCUGAGAGGAUGAUCAGCCACACUGGGACUGAGACACGGCCCAGACUCCUACGGGAGGCAGCAGUGGGGAAUAUUGGACAAUGGGCGCAAGCCUGAUCCAGCCAUGCCGCGUGAGUGAUGAAGGCCCUAGGGUUGUAAAGCUCUUUCACCGGUGAAGAUAAUGACGGUAACCGGAGAAGAAGCCCCGGCUAACUUCGUGCCAGCAGCCGCCGUAACAC